UGGAGGGAAAAGGAAAAUAAGCGAAGCAUUUGAAAAUAUGGCACGGCCAGGAAUCGAAGUCAGGAAAAAUUUGAAUAUGCGCGCCUACAGCCAAACGACACCGUUUGACCAUACAAACCCUAAGCGCGCGCUGCAUGGCUUUCAAAAAAUUCGUAGGUAAUCAUGAUGAAUUCGUAACAAAAUCCGCAACAAAGCCUAUGCGUUUCCUAGCAAAAUUCGCAGGAAACCUGGAAACGCUAUGAACAUGAUGAAGAUCAU
rnacentral:lncRNA from 1 species